GAAAUGCGAUAAGUAAUGUGAAUUACAGAAUUCAGUGAAUCAUCGAAUCUUUGAACGCACAUUGCGCCCGCCAGUAUUCUGGCGGGCAUGCCUGUUCGAGCGUCAUUACAACCCUCAGGCCCCCGGGCCUGGCGUUGGGGAUCGGCGGAAGCCCCCUGCGGGCACAACGCCGUCCCCCAAAUACAGUGGCGGUCCCGCCGCAGCUUCCAUUGCGUAGUAGCUAACACCUCGCAACUGGAGAGCGGCGCGGCCACGCCGUAAAACACCCAACUUCUGAAUGUUGACCUCGAAUCAGGUAGGAAUACCCGCUGAACUUAAGC
rnacentral:misc_RNA from 1 species